rnacentral:rRNA from 1 species
GAUGAACGCUGGCGGCGUGCCUAAUACAUGCAAGUCGAGCGAACGGACGAGAAGCUUGCUUCUCUGAUGUUAGCGGCGGACGGGUGAGUCACACGUGGAUAACCUACCUAUAAGGCUGGGAUAACUUCGAGAAACCGGAGCUAAUACCAUAUAAUAUUUUGAACCGUGUGGUUCAAAAGUAACAUACAGUCUUGCUGUUACUUAUAGAUCGUUCCGCGCUGUAGUAGCUAGUUGGUAGGGUAACGGCUUAACAAGGCAACGAUGCAUAGCCGACCUGGGAGGGUGAUCGGCCACCCGGGAACGGGAACACGGUCAAUACUCCUACGGGAGGCACCAGAAGGCAAUCUUCGGCAGUGGUCGAAAGCAUGACGGACCAAGGCCGCGUGAGUGAUGAAGGUCUCCGGUUCGUAAAACUCGGUUAUUAGGGAAAAACAUAUGUGUAAGUAAAUGUGCACAUCUUGACGGUACCUAAUCAGAAAGCCACGGCUAACUACGUG